rnacentral:rRNA from 1 species
UACGUAGGGGGCGAGCGUUAUCCGGAUUUACUGGGCGUAAAGCGCGUUAAGGCGGUUGGCAAAGUUGGUUGUGAAAUCUCAGGGCUCAACCCUGAAAUUGCGACCAAUACUGGUCGACUAGAGUGCAAGAGAGGAAGGUGGAAUUCCCGGUGUAGUAGUGAAAUGCGUAGAUAUCGGGAGGAACACCAGUGGCGAGGGCGGCUGCCUGGACCCUUGCCUGACGCUGAGGCGCGAAAGCAUGGGGAGCGAACAGG